GGACAUCCCAUAAUCAAUUCUCUUAUUGAUUUUUUAUUUUUAGAGCAUCUUCUUCUCCUCCUCUCUUUCUCCUUCAGAUCUUCUAUCACUUUGGAGUGUCCAAGGUGCUUGUAGAAGAAGAAAGAGAUCAGCUAUCAAAGUUAUUCGCGGACAAGCAUCUUCGAGCCCCUAAUCUGCACCAGUCUUCGCAUGGAUUUUUCUAUAAAGGUCAGAUGACUUCAUGUGGUUGCA
rnacentral:lncRNA from 1 species